rnacentral:lncRNA from 1 species
GGAGCCGUUGUAAUUUUGUAUCGUCGUAGUAUAGAGGCGGCGGAUACCCCAGGUAGUUUAGCAUUCAGUUACGCUCAUGCUGGGAUGCCGAGUAUAUUUUUACAGUAACGUUCAGGCUGUUCCGGACUGUUGGGUGCCGUCGAGGUUGACGGUGGACCCAUAUCGCCUUUUUAGCGUCGAAUUGUGCCGAGGGCACGUGACUGUGGGUUGUUAGACCAGUUA